CGUAGUACAGGCCGAACAGAGAGAGGAGAUGGAGAUGACGAGUCGCUUUGUCUGAGAAACGUAAACAAGGCUGCACUUCAGACCAUGUUAUGAUGGAGACGUCUGAGCAAGAAGAAGAUGUCCUACAGUUUGAAUGUGAGGAUGGCUCCUGGCUCCCGG